AGACUCCCAAUUGUGCAACUGGUGGAAAACAAAGGAGCAACAUCUUUGUUUCACAUAGCAAUUAAGCAAGUUUUUGGAGUGAUUCUUUUGAGGAUUUAGUUUUGUUUAGAUGUAGAAUGGUACUCGCUGAUAAAAUAGAGGCAGAGUUUUACGUUUAAUAGUGUGUAAACCUGUUUCAGUUUACGGACAGCUGCAGCUUGAUAUUGACAGAGAAAACAGACCAGGGUUAGAUGUUGGAGGAAGCCAAAAUGGUCUUGGGAAGUAUGCUCAAUUUGGACAACAGAGCCAUAGAACAGAAGCCGUUUCUCAGCAUGUAGAUAUGAAGCCUGGUGCAAACAAUCUCAAUCUCCUUAUACUGUCGGUGUGCAGUGUGCACCGAGGCAGAUCUCCCCCUACAGUAUGGUGGGCUGUCGGCAUCAAGCGGCUGAGCGGGACCGAGCGAAGAAGACGAUGAACAGAAAGCAACGCUGAAUUGCUGAUGCACCUGGACGCGGUACCAUAGAUUAAUUGGAGUAGCCCAAUAGAUAGACAACAUCCCAACAAGGCAACUGCCCCCAAAGCCUCAAACAUUUUAUGCUGCGUGCUUAUUUGUUUUACCAACAGAGGAUCUUACUGAUUCAUUUCAAAAUUAGCAGGUUGGUUCUUCUUUUAGCUCAUGGAUCUUGG
rnacentral:lncRNA from 1 species